GCUACCUUACCCUGAGGACUUGGACAUUCCAGCGUAUCGCAGAACCGGAAUUCAUCUCCCAUUGCCCACAACAGUGCUUCCCUGCCUCAGUUUCAUAGAAAUGAUCCCUUCGUAACUCAGCAGCUCAUAUACAGUGAUAAAGUAUCAAGUCCAUCGUUUUCCCAAAUCAAGAGCAAUGCAUCCCACACAAAUGGGCAAGAAUUGCAGCUGACAGAGGAAUCUCCCUAUCUUUGAACCUUCAGGAUUUUGCAGUGAUGUCAAGGUUUACACCCAUGUCCCCACUCCCAAAAUUUGGAUUUGAGCCUCAGAUCUGCUAUUUACUAACUCUGUGAUCUUUGACAAAUCACUCGAAUUCCUGAUGCCUUAAGAAUCCCUUUGUUCCUGAGCAGGGCGACACAGUCUCCUGCAGUUGAGGAUCAUUGAUCUAGAGCAUUGAUUACAACGGAAGGCAUCUAAAGGAUGAGGCAAAAGUGAAAGCCAGAUUAUGGUUGUAUGUUUUUCCUGUAAGCCACCACAAACCUUUUGUGCAAUGAGAUAGGUGAUGAAUAAAGCAUGGAUGAAUCCACGCAUUAGAUGAGUAUGUGAAGUGGAUAUGGAGAGCACACAAGAACCAAGAGCAGACAGAGCCCUAAGGAAAGACCUGGCUGACCUGCCGGAAGGAAAAUAGGUAUUAGGAAUCCUGAAAACCAUACUUCAGAGGAUUGUGUAUCAAGAAGGUUGGGGUCUAGGUGAGAGUCUUGUGAUUUGGUUGAAUUAAAAUGAAUGCAGCACUUCCAGCCCUGCAGUCAUUCAGGAGUCCCCAACUUACUACCACUGAGGGCCAGGUUGAGAACACACAGACCUCCCAGCCAGCUGUCUCUGUAUCUACAGAGUUGAACUGGACUUAGUUUUUAUAUGCUAUCUCUUGAAGGCACAAACUUGGAUAUUAUGGGGAAAAACCAUGUUUUGAUUUUAUAAAUGUUGAUAUUGAUAGGUGACAGGGAGGUAAUAACUGCUUAUUAGCAUUUAAUGUGUCUGAUCAUUCAAUUAAUCUUGUAGAAAUUACUCUUAGACUUUCAACAACAUGUAACUAUGAGCACAUAUCAUUUAUUUCAAUUUAAUACAGUGGCUGAAAAGGAUUUCUAAGAAUUGUUUGUACCUCUGGGCAUAUCUUAGUGAGAGACUUUUGAUAGCAUUUGUUUAAACCUUAUGAAAACUGUAUUUAGUCAUGGACUGAAGUGAAUUGUUCAUUGGAUUCAUUAGGGAUUAUAUCUAAGAAUAAGAUUUACUGCAUUUAUAAUAAAAUGUGUGAAUGAAGAAA
rnacentral:lncRNA from 1 species